rnacentral:rRNA from 1 species
ACAGAGCCCGUGAAUCCGGGCGCGCGGAAUUCAGGACCGACCGCGGCGCGCGUGCGUGUCGCCGGUCGAUUCGAUAUUUCCGCCGCCGACCCGCAACCGCGGGUGUCGGACGUCGCGACCCGUUCGCGUCGAACCGCGGGGGCGCGUUCGAGUUCGUUCGCGCGUUUCGCCUCUUCGCGGGGGCGAGCGCGCAGCGACGGCGCGCUCUCCACUUCGUUCUGUCGCGGACGGUAGCUUUGCGCGCGGGUAUUCGGCGCGGCCCGUUCCGCUCGGCGUUCGCGUCGGGCGGGCGCCGCGUCGACGCCGGUCAGCGACGAAUCUUCGGGCCUCUUUCCGACCCGUCUUGAAACACGGACCAAGGAGUCUAACGUGCGCGCGAGUCGCGGGGUAUCCGAGUCCGCUGAGGUGUUCUGCGCCGACGCGACUCGCUACGAUGCGAAACCCGUGUACGUACGUUGUGCGAAGGCGUAAUGAAAGUGAAGGUGGCCGCGCGUUUUUUUACGCGCGUCACUCGGGAAGACGGUGUACCGAGUACACGUUUCGCGGUCACGUAGGUGCCGCGGCCGGGCACCCGCAUUCCCGGGGCGUCCCGCUCGUACGUCGGCGGUGCGGACGGCUUCGCGGCCGUCGGCCGUCGGCGAACUGGGGCGCACCUAUAGCGUGCACGUUGGUACCCGAAAGAUGGUGAACUAUGCCCGGCCAGGAU